rnacentral:tRNA from 1 species
GGAGAGAUGGCAGAGUGGUUGAUUGCAGCGGUCUUGAAAACCGCCUUGGGUAACACCAACGGGGGUUCGAAUCCCUCUCUCUCCGCCA